AUUGAACGCUGGCGGCAGGCCUAACACAUGCAAGUCGAACGAGUGGCGGACGGGUGAGUAAUGUCUGGGAAACUGCCCGAUGGAGGGGGAUAACUACUGGAAACGGUAGCUAAUACCGCAUACCAUCGGAUGUGCCCAGAUGGGAUUAGCUAGUAGGUGGGGUAACGGCUAACCUAGGAGACGAUCCCUAGCUGGUCUGAGAGGAUGACCCGCCACACUGGAACUGAGAAACGGGCCAGACUCCUACGGGAGGCAGCAGUGUGGAAUAUUGCACAAUGGGCGGAAGCCUGAUGCAGCCAUGCCGCGUGGAUGAAGAAGGCCUUCGGGUUGUAAAGUACUUUCAGCGGGGAAGCGUUACUCGCAGAAGAAGCAUCGGCUAACUCCGUGCCAGCCGCCGCGGUAAUUC
rnacentral:rRNA from 1 species